GACGAACGCUGGCGGCGUGCCUAAUACAUGCAAGUCGAACGCAGUGGGGACGGGUGAGUAACACGUGGGUAACCUCCCAUCAGAGGGGAUAACACUUGGAAACAGGUGCUAAACCGAUACUGAUGGAUGGACCCGCGGUGCAUUAGCUAGUUGGUGAGGUAACGGCUCACCAAGGCCACGAUGCAUAGGCGACACGGGAGGGUGAUCGGCCACACUGUGACGCAGACACGGCCCAUGCUCCUAAGGGGGGGAGGAGUAGGGAAUCUUCGGCAAUUGACGAAAGGCUGACCGAGCAACGCCGCGGGAGUGAAGAAGGUUUUCGGAUCGUAAAACUCUGUUGUUAGAGAAGCGGUAGCUAACCAGAAAGCCACGGCUAACUACGUGCCAGCAGCCGCGGUAAUAC
rnacentral:rRNA from 1 species